AAUAAACACAUCUUCCUCAGAAUCUCUCCACGCGAUGGGCCACUAAAUCAUCCAAGCACCAUACUACCCCUUGGCUGCACACCUCUCUUGUUUCCUCACGAGAUAGUGCCCCUGCUAUAAACUCAGCUGGGCAGCCCGCUACAGAAGGAUUGACUUCACGACCGUUCCCACCCUGUUCAUUAGCCGGCCUGCGCCCCUGGCCACGGGCUGUUGGAGAACCAAAGGUCAGGCCGGAGAAGAAAUGACUCCUCAGGUUCAUGGCUGUGCCAAGAGCCGCUCGCUUGCUUGUCAGGAUGACUGCUAUAAGGCAUCACUGAAAAGAGGACACAACUGGCCUUGGCCUAUUGUCUCACACCUUUCUUGUACUUCCUGGAACUCAACUAUAAUUUAGAAUCUGCUGGUCAUCCUUUAUUUCCUAUUCAUAGCACCUGAUUUCAGAUUGGCAAAAUGAAGGAAGGUAACAAGAAAGAAAACAGCAAGACAAGAAAUUAAGAUAGAGGGAGGGAAGGGGUGAGAACACCACUCAAUAGAUACACUGUGAUGCUACAGAA